rnacentral:rRNA from 1 species
UUGAUCCUGGCUCAGAAUCAACGCUGGCGGCGCGCUUAACACGUGCAAGUCGAACGAGAAAGGGGAGCAAUCCCUGAGUACAGUGGCGUACGGGUGAGUUACACGUGGAUGAUCUACCUUUUAGUGGGGAAUACCUCUGGGAAACCGGAUACAAUACCGCAUAAGCUCGGAAGAGGAAACCUAGAAAUGGGGCUGAAAGUGGAGUCCGCGGCCGAUUAGCUAGUUGGUAGGGUAAAAGCCUACCAAGGCUAAGAUCGGUAGCCGGCCUGAGAGGGCACACGGCCACACUGGCACUGAAAUACGGGCCAGACUCCUACGGGAGGCAGCAGUGGGGAAUCUUGCACAAUGGUGGCAACCCUGAUGCAGCGACGCCGCGUGAGCGAUGAAGCCCUUCGGGGUUUAAAGCUCUUUCGACGGGAACGAUAAUGACGGUACCCGGAGAAGAAGCUUCGGCUAACUACGUGCCAGCAGCCGCGGUAAUU